rnacentral:ncRNA from 1 species
AAUAAGAAAGUUUGGUUCUAGCUUUAGGUUAAAUUUAUCGUGAUAUAAACACAUUGGUUCUAUAAGGAUAUUGGGAGUUUAGCAGGUCUAAUAAAGUAGUUUAAAUAACUUACUUUGUGCGGGCUGAUGAUGUAGGUUAUUAGUUAUAAAUAUAGAUAAUAAAUAAUUUUUCCCGGCACCAGUGAAAAAUUUUGAAUAAAGUUAUAAAUAAUGAUUCAGGGUAGAUAUAAUAAGGAGGUAAGUUUAGUGCCAGCACCUGCGGUUAAACUAACCCUUAUUUUAACCUUUUCGUAGUUGAGUUAAAGUUAAAAUAAAAGCAAUACGAUAGUUAAUAUAUGGUAAAAUAUAAUUUAUAGAAUGUGUUAUAUAACUUUAUAAACUUUACACUUAAAAGUCUAUUUAGAAGACCGGGAUUAGAGACCCCGUUAUUAAUGAUGUAAUAUUAACUACGGUUAGUACGAGCGGAAACAAGGCUUAAAAACCAAAGAACUUGGCGGUACAUUAUAUUACUUUAGGGGAACUUGACGGUUAAAUCGAUAAUCCUCGCAAUACCUUACCUUUUUUUGUCUUGCUAUACCGCCGUUGCCAGUUGAAUUUUAAAUAGAUAAAAUUUCUGCUUUGAAAGUAGCUUUCAUUAUUUUGAAUUACUUCAGAAUUCAGGUAAACGUAGUGGAAUUAUAAAAAGGGCUUAGUUGAGUUACAUUGUUAUAUUGUUUGGAAAUAAGUUGAAAUACUUGUGGAAUUUGGACCUAAUAGUAAGUUUUUGUAAUGGAGAAAAGUUGAAUUGUAAACUAAUGUGUGUACAAAUUGCCCGGUGCCCCCACAUAACCAAACUGGGGUAAGCCGAAACACGGUAACGCUACUAAAAAGUGGUGUUAA